rnacentral:lncRNA from 1 species
GGUAAGCUUAUGCUCUCCUCUCAAGAUGCAUUAAAGCUUUACUGCAGAAGGAUCCGAAUGUCCUGUGUCGUUCUUGCUGGCGAGGCGAUAGCGCAGGACAUCUGGUGCUGAAACCCGGGAACUUGUUAACAUCGCCGGCACUGCAGAGACCCCUCUAACGGGGCGGAUUCAGAACUGCAGGGUGGUAUUGAAAGACCCCAACUCAAGCCUAGCAUGAUACCCACCAGCAUGUAUUUAAAAGUCACUCUGGCCACACACAGCUCUGGGACAAAGAACACAUGAAAUGGUACUGUUUCCUUGGUGUCGUCCACCCCUUCUGGAUCAUGUAAUCUCACUACCUUCUUUUCUGCAUAGCUCCCUGUGCACUGAUGAGAAAGGUUUGAUGAAGAUAUUCCAAUUACAAUUGAGUAUUCUAAUGUCUCAUCCUGUCCUACAAGUCCCUAAAUAAUACAAUUUUAACAUGAAUGUUCCAGCCUCGUACAUCGGCCGUGUUCACUCCUGUGCAGUGUCCAUCACUUCUUUCCCCUGUUCUCAGGCCCCAUGUUUCGGUGCCAUUUUCCCCGUCCAGCCUGUAUCAGUCCUACAGUGCAGGGGCCAUCUAUUCCGGUCUGAUGUCUUUGUGGCUGAAAUCUGAAGCAGUCGAAAAGCCCUGGUCUGACCCUGAGUCAGGAGUGGGGAUGAGCGAAGUCCUAGCUACCCAGAUGUUAAGGACUGGACAGAGAUAUCUGGUCAUCUCAAGAGUACUCUCAGUGAACCCUGGGAGCCUUAAAUGUUUAUUAUUACGGGAUAAUGACAGUCUAGAAAUAUUGGAUGAUUCCAAAUGCAAAACAUACGGAGAAUAUAAUGCUAUGCACAUAACAAAAAGAUUCAAGAUUGCCAGGCCUUAGAAAAAGCUAAACUCGGUUCUUGCCCAGAGUCGCCAUGGUUUCCUGCUUCAACAGUGCUGGAUCAGAACUGGAAGCUCAACCCUUCCGACACCAUCUGGCAGCUCUGGGACAGAACCCUUUGCAACCUGGUUGCUCCACCGCUCCAGCGCCACCACCGCGCCUGCCUCUGCCAUGACCCCACCGCCCUGACCACAGCGUCUCUCUCGCAAGUGCACCAGAACUACCACCAGGACUCGGAGGCUGCCAUCAACCACCAGAUCAACUUGGAACUGUACGCCUCCUACGUCUAUCUGUCUAUGUCUUGCUACUUUGACCGGAAUAAUGUGGCUCUGAAGAACUUUGCCAAAUACUUUCUCCACCAAUCUCAUGAGGAGAGGGAACACGCUGAGAAAUUGAUGAAGCUGCAGAACCAACGAGGUGGCCGAAUCUUCCUGCAGGAUAUCAAGAAACCAGACCGUGAUGACUGGGAGAGCGGGCUAAGCGCAAUGGACUGUGCACUGCACUUGGAAAAGAGUGUGAAUCAGUCACUACUGGAACUGCACAAACUGGGUACUGACAAAAAUGACCCCCACUUGUGUGACUUCAUUGAGACCCAUUACCUGAAUGAGCAGAUGAAAUCCAUCAAAGAGCUGGGUGGCCACGUGACCAACUUGCGCAAGAUGGGAGCCCCCACUGUCAUGGCAGAAUAUCUCUUUAACAAGCACACCCUAGGACAUAGUGAGAGCUAAGCUGACUUCCAGAAGCCACCAGUGAUGUCACCGGUCACUGAGGCAGUACAUGCAUAUAGGCUGCCUUUACCUUUUCUAUAAAUCACCAAAACAUCUGCUUAAGUUCUUUAAUUUGUACCAUUUCUUCAAAUAAAGGAUUUUGGUACCAAAAAAAAAAAAAAACAACAACAACAAAAUAAAAGUUUGAAGAUUGCCAAGCAUAAAUAAGUAGACUCUAGGUAAAUGUUAUAUCAAAGUUUGUGUACUAUCAGAAACAGAUGUGACAGAAAUAACCAAUUAAAACUUGCCAUAGCUCCCAAAUAUCUAACAUCUAAGUAAAUUCUGAUUUGAACUUUAGACUUCUAAUGCAAGUCGGUCAUCAUUGAGAAGCUAAAUCUAAGCUGAAGAAAUACAGGGAAGCCCUAUGAACAUGAGGCUCAAACUUUCUCUAAGCUUAAAACAACC